AUAUGUAAAGGUUUGUGGUUCAGGUCCAUUUACCAUGUAAUGUGUGUCGGUUUGUAGUUCAGGUCCACUUACUAUGUAAGGUGUGAAGGUUUUUAGUUUGGGUCCUCUCGCCAUAUAAUGUGUGAAGGUUUAUAGUUCGGGCCCACUUACUAUGUAAUGUGUGUUGGUUUUAGUUUGGUUCCACUUACCAUAUAAGGUGUG
rnacentral:lncRNA from 1 species